UAGUCCACGCAGUAAACGAUGUUAACUAGGUGGUGGGGAUAUUAAAAUUUUCACUGCCGGAGCAAACGCAUUAAGUUAACCGCCUGGGGAGUACGGUCGCAAGACUAAAACUCAAAGGAAUUGACGGGGGCCCGCACAAGCGGUGGAGCAUGUGGUUUAAUUCGACGCAACGCGAAGAACCUUACCUGGGUUUGACAUCCUGUGAAUCUUCCAGAGACGGAAGAGUGCCUUCGGGAGCACAGAGACAGGUGCUGCAUGGCUGUCGUCAGCUCGCGUCGUGAGAUGUUUGGUUAAGUCCAGCAACGAGCGCAACCCUUAUCUUUAGUUGCCAGCACGUCAAGGUGGGAACUCUAGAGAGACUGCCCGGGUUAACCGGAGAAGGCGGGAUGACGUCAAGUCCUCAUGGCCCUUAUACCCCAGGGCUACGACACGUGCUACAAUGGUAUGUACAACGGGUAGCAAGCCAGUGAUGGUAAGCCAAUCCCCAAAGCACUAUACUCAGUCCGGAUUGG
rnacentral:rRNA from 1 species